UACGUAGGGUGCAAGCGUUGUCCGGAAUUAUUGGGCGUAAAGAGCUCGUAGGCGGUGUGUCACGUCGGCCGUGAAAACCUGCAGCUUAACUGUGGGCGUGCGGUCGAUACGGGCAUCACUGGAGUUCGGCAGGGGAGACUGGAAUUCCUGGUGUAGCGGUGAAAUGCGUAGAUAUCUGGAGGAACACCGGUGGCGAAGGCGGCAUCCUGGACCGGCAUUGACGCUGAGGCGCGAAAGCCAGGGGAGCAAACGGG
rnacentral:rRNA from 1 species